UACAGAGGUCUCAAGCGUUGUUCGGAUUUACUGGGCGUAAAGGGCGCGUAGGCGGCUUGUCAAGUCACUUGUGAAAUCUCUGGGCUUAACCCAGAACGGCCAAGUGAAACUGACAUGCUAGAGUGCAGAAGGGGCAAUCGGAAUUCUUGGUGUAGCGGUGAAAUGCGUAGAUAUCAAGAGGAACACCUGAGGUGAAGACGGGUUGCUGGGCUGACACUGACGCUGAGGCGCGAAAGCCAGGGGAGCAAACGGG
rnacentral:rRNA from 1 species